GCUCCAGAUGUGUGUUCCAGAUGUGAUCCAGGCGUCCCAGUAUGGCGGUGUUCUAUGGGUGGCGGGGCUCCAGAUGUGCUCCAGGUGUGAUUUGUUUUUAUUCUUGUUUUUUUUUUUUAAAUACAUGGUGCUCCAGGAGCAGCGAAGAUGCAGGUUAUGGAGAUGUUGUGGGUCAGGUGGUGCUCCAGAUGUGUGUUCCAGAGGCGCCCCUGGAGCAGCAGCAGUCAGGAUCCGGCUCAUCCCGCCCCGCAAGGAACUUCCCUGUCUCUGCUGCCCAUGCCUGUGGGGUCAGUGGCGUCAGGGAGACUGGGCCGUUGGGUCAUCCAGGAUCACCUUGAAGACGGUGUCAUCAUCGCCGCCGUGUGCCGGGAAAUGCCGCGUGGCAUGGUGCCAUGGGACCACAAAGAGUCGACGCCGCGCAUCCAACCAGUGCAGCCCUGGGAAACGGCCGCUGUCCACCUGGGCCACCAACCAUGGGCGCAGGCGCACGCGGCGAGGCACCGGGGAUGCCAUCGAGGACAGGAGGGGACACCAGCAGAGGUCGUGCGGUGAUGAGAAGGUGACACGGUGCAGGACGUGGUGAGGCACGUGGGGAACUGUGUGAUGCAGUCGUGGAGAUGCCGUGGUUAAUGAUGGGUAUUUGUGGUCAUCCAAUAGGUGCUGUCACCUCUGGUCACCCAUCAUUCAUGGUCAUCUGUCACUUGGGGUCACUUCUGGUCACCUCUGGUCACUGGUCACCCAUGGUUGCUUCUAGUCAUCUAUCACAUCUGGUCAACUUUGGUCACCCAACACUCAUGGUCACCUGUCACUUAUGGUCACUCAUGGUCACCUCUGGUCACCUGUGGUCAUCUGUGACCUCUGCUCAUCCAUGAUCACCCAUGGUCACCUGUCAAGUCACCCAUGGUCACCUCUCACCACCCGCAGUCAUCUGUCACCCAUGAUCACCACUGGUCACUCAUUGGUCAAUUUUGGUCACCCAUCACUCAUGGUCGCCUAUCAACCAUAGUCACGUGUCACCCACAGCCAUCAACGGUCACCCGUGGUCAUUCAUUGUCACCUAUGACAACCUCUGGUCACUCAUGGUUACCUUACACCCAUGGUCACGUUUGGUCACCUAUGACCACCCAACAUCCAUGGUCAUCUGUCACCCAUGGUCACCUCUGAUUGCCCAUGGUCACCUAACCCCCUCCUCAUCUGCCAUUUAUGGUCACCCAGCCACCCAGCUGGUGGUCACCUGUCACCCAUGGCCACCAAUGGUCACCCAUGGUCAUCUGUCACCAUGGUCACCUCUGGUCACCUAUUGCCCAUGGCCACCUGCUACUUAGGGUCUCCCAUGGUCACCUCUGGUCAACCCUGGUCACUCAGCAUCCAAGGUCACUUGUCACUUUUGGUCACCCACAGUCACCUCUGGUCACCCCUAGUCACUCAACACCCAUGGUUGCCUGUCACCCAUUGUCACCCAUGGUCACCUCUGGUCUCCCUCCAUGUGUGCUCUUUAGGGUGACCUGUCCCACCCCACUCAGCCACUUCCGCUCACCCCACAAACCCCACCACCCCAAAAGUGUCACGUGGGUCACACAGUGACAUCAGCCAUCCCUGGGGACACAGGGUGGGGACAACAACAAAAACGGGGACCGAAAGAGGAACUGGUCCCUAUGCCCCAUGGAAAGGAGAAGUGACACCGCAGGGUAGGGUGGGGAGCUGGAGGGGGAUGGGAGACAUGAGGCCAUUGUGCAGCCUCCAUGAAGACCCCAUAAAGCCACCGAGAUGCCAUCUGGAAGCACCCACAAUCCCACUGUGAAGCCCUCCAAGAUGCCAGCAUGAUGCCACCACGAUGUCACCAUGGAGUCCCCCAGGAUGCCACCGCAAUCCCACCAUAAAUUACCCACAAAGACUCCCAGAAGCCACCAUGAAGCCCCCCCAGAUGCCACCAUGAAGCCACCAUGACCCCACCAUGAAGACCCCACUCAAGACCCCACUAUGAAGACACAACAAAGCCACCAUGAAGCCCCCAUAGAUGCCACCACGAAGCCCCCAUAGAUGCCACCACGAAGCCCACCAUGAAGCCCCCCUCCAGGAACCCACCAUGAAGACCCCAUAACCCCUUUGCAGCCCCACAAGAACCCCUCAUGGACCCCUCCCUCCAUUCUCACCCCUCUCCAGCACCCUUCGCUGCUCCCCUCCAAACACGCUUCCUCCCACAUUAGCAUCUCAUUUGCAUACAGCGCGCCACGCCCCCGUUCCGUGACGGGAGAGGUUGGGAGGAGCCUUGCCGCUUUAAGGCGGGCCACACCAACGUGGCCACUUUAAGAAACGCCCCUCCCGCCCCCUGCCUGCAGCGAUUGGCUGCGCUCUCCUCACUCCCGCUCGCUAUUGGUUGAGAGCAGGACUAGGGCGGGUUCUUCCGCUUCCGGUCGCGUUGCUUGGCAUUGAUUGAUUAGUGCUUAAUAUCACUUUUAUUAUUAUCAUCA